rnacentral:rRNA from 1 species
CAACGCGAAGAACCUUACCGUGGUCUUGACAGUCCCGGACGACCCUUAGGAAACGUAGGGGGUGCUUCCAUCUGGAAGAAUCUGGAGACAGGUGCUGCAUGGCUGUCGUCAGCUCGUGUCGUGAGAUGUUGGGUUAAGUCCCGCAACGAGCGCAACCCUUGCCUUUAGUUGCCAGCAGUUCGGCUGGGCACUCUAAAGGGACUGCCGGUGUUAAACCGGAGGAAGGUGGGGAUGACGUCAAGUCCUCAUGGCCUUUAUGACCAGGGCUACACACGUACUACAAUGGCCGAUACAAAGGGCAGCGACACUGCGAGGUGAAGCCAAUCCCGUAAAAUCGGUCUCAGUCCGGAUUGGAGUCUGCAACUCGACUCCAUGAAGUUGGAAUCGCUAGUAAUCGUGGAUCAGCAUGCCACGGUGAAUACGUUCCCGGGCCUU